rnacentral:rRNA from 1 species
CCUACGGGAGGCAGCAGUGGGGAAUUUUGGACAAUGGGCGCAAGCCUGAUCCAGCAAUGCCGCGUGAGUGAAGAAGGCCUUCGGGUUGUAAAGCUCUUUUGUCAGGGAAGAAACGGAUGAGGCUAAUAUCCUUGUCUAAUGACGGUACCUGAAGAAUAAGCACCGGCUAACUACGUGCCAGCAGCCGCGGUAAUACGUAGGGUGCAAGCGUUAAUCGGAAUUACUGGGCGUAAAGCGUGCGCAGGCGGUUUUGUAAGUUUGUCGUGAAAUCCCCGGGCUCAACCUGGGAAUUGCGAUGAAGACUGCAAGGCUAGAAUCUGGCAGAGGGGGGUAGAAUUCCACGUGUAGCAGUGAAAUGCGUAGAGAUGUGGAGGAACACCGAUGGCGAAGGCAGCCCCCUGGGUCAAGAUUGACGCUCAUGCACGAAAGCGUGGGGAGCAAACAGGAUUAGAUACCCUGGUAGUCCACGCCCUAAACGAUGUCUACUAGUUGUCGGGUUUUAAUAACUUGGUAACGCAGCUAACGCGUGAAGUAGACCGCCUGGGGAUACGGUCGCAAGNUUAAACCUANAGAUGNGNGNGNGNGNGCGAGAGACGACGAGGAGAGG